AGUGAACGCUGGCGGCGUGCCUAAUACAUGCAAGUCGAACGGAGUGGCGCACGGGUGAGUAAUAUAUAGCUAAUCUGCCCCUUGCUGGAGGACAACAGUUAGAACUGAAUGCUAAUACUCCAUAGCAAGGGAUGAGCCUAUAUCGUAUCAGCUAGUCGGUGGGGUAACGGCCUACCGAGGCUAUGACGCGUAACUGGUCUGAGAGGAUGAUCAGUAACAUUGUAACUGAGACACGGUCCAAACUCCUACGGGAGGGAGCAGUAGGGAAGAUUGCGCAAUGGGGGAAACCCUGACGCAGCAUCGGCGCGUGGAGGAUGACACGUUUCGGAGUGUAAAGUCCGUUUGUUAGGGAAGCGGUACCUAACGAAUAAGCACCGGCUAACUCCGUGCCAGCAGCCGCGGUAAUAC
rnacentral:rRNA from 1 species